CGCGCGAUUAUGUGUGCGUAUUCUCUCUUAGUCGCGUGCAGUGUGUGCCUCCUCGCAGUAACAUGCCAUGUCGGCUCUUUAUUCAAAUAAUCUCUCAAUAUAAGUACACAUAUAUAUAAGUACAUACAUAUAUAUUUAUCUAUACAUAUAUAUACAUUCAAUAAAUUAAUAAAACAGUAAAACUUUAACUACAGACACAGACAGUAGUCAAAUUAAAAGAAACUGACAGUUGUCUUCCCGUGAAGAAUAUUAUAGACAAAAGUGAGGGUUUUAAAAAAUAUUUUCGCGAAUAAUCGAUCGGGCUAAGUUGACAGCAAAUCAACGUACAACGUUGUCUAGUUUGAGUUUUGCGAGUGUGUGUAUCAGGGUAUAUCAGCAGGAGCUUGGAGCUGCUACACAAACUCAAUCCACACUAUCGUACUCAGCUCAGCAGACUCUUGUACAUAUUAUUUGAGAGUUAGAGUGAUGGUGAUGGCGAUGUGAUGGUGGACAUCCGUGUGUGGGUAUUCUGAAAGACCCGAGAGCCGAGCAGAAGGAGAUAUAUGGUGGGAGUCGCAAAACUACCGAGUAAGAGAGUAAGCGAGACACCGAAGAAAGAGGAUUCAGCGCUGAGGUGAAGAGCGAGAGGACUUUUCUCGUAUCCGCUGCUGUAGUAGUGGAGUAGUCAUCGUCUUCGUCGUCGUCGUCGUCGUGUGCUUUGUGUCCAAGUGUUGUGCAUUUAUAUCUACAUAUAUGUAUUUUUUUAUCAAAGGUAGCAGCAGUAGAAGAAUAAAGAGUAGUUGUUGUACUCCCGAGUUUAGAAAAAAAGAAGAUAUAAGACACGAGACACGAGCACGACCACGACCACGACGACGACGAUAACAACGACAACAAGAGAAUCAGUACCAAAUGUACUUGCUCAACUAAAAGUAUACUCGCGAUUUAUAAAUAUUUAUCUGGAAGUGCCGGAACCAAGGUGUCAAGUGGUGAAAUAUUAAAAGGAUUUUGUAUAAAAUGAGACCGGGUGAUUUAAAAUCUGGACAGUUAUUAUUAAAUAGAUAUAUUGGAAGCUACAGUGUGUAUGGUAUAAAUUAACAACUAACUAAAACUGGUGUGUUAUGUUCCAUGUUACAUUACAUUAGUUGGGUCUAUAUUUUUGCGUGCGCUGUAUAGUAUUCUGUUUCUGUAUACAGAGUUAUACAGAGUAGACUAAAAGACGUGUGAUGGUCGCUGUUGCUGAGCGAGACUCACUGGCCGGAAAUAUAUAAGCCUUGAGAGCUAGAGUUUGCUCAGUACUCCAAUAUACAACUGAGUACAGUAGCCACCAGUAUAAUAGUGAUUUAGUUUAUUUUUUUUUUUUUUUCAUUUUUUUUUCCUUUUUUUUUUUAACUCAUGUUCUUUAUUUUUUCAAAGCUUUGUAUGAAAUGAAAGAUAUUGUGCUGAGAAUGAAUAAGAGACAUCUAAAGUUUAAGACUACACUUUUAUAUGUACAUACAUGCUUAUAUAUUAUUUAUAUAUAUACUUAUAUACGUAUACAUAUAUAUUUAUAUAAACAUGUGUGUAUAUAUAACUGGAUAGGGCUUUUGAUUUGUGUAUAAAUGUAGAUGAGUAAUAGUAGUCGUAGACUCUUUAAAUUCUAUGAGUUUUUUUUUUUUUUUUUAAUGAUUAUUCUAUGAGUAAGUUUUGUGCGUAUAUAUCGUAUCGUGUGAUAUGUGAGUUGGUCGGUGACCAGAAGGACGCGGGUAUAUAUAUAUAUAUAUAUAUAUAUAUAUAUAUAUAAAAUAUAUAUGAAGGAGGUGAGGAGAGACUAGAGAGUAGUAGUGGAUCGAGAGGGAGACUCAGUCGUGCGCGCGAGAGGGCAGUGAUCUCUCGGGGAGCGGCGACCUGACACCAACGACCGAUAGCUAUAGGAUACAUCCAUCUCGCUCUGUUGAGCAUCCCAGACUCCAUCACGAUCUUACACUUUUAAACUCAUCUGCAGAUACUCGGACCAUUCCAAGACCAAGAAGAAGACAACGUUAUAGAGUACAUUUCUUCUUUCUCAGAUCAUCACCAUGGUGCAUUUUAUCGUGGUACACAAUACUCAUCGUCUUCUUGCCCAGUGGAUCAUUCAGCACCAUCAUUUGAUCGGAUUACCAAGGUGACCUGGCAUAUACGACAGUCCAUGGGGAGUCCCGUUGAACCUGAAUUGACACCACCUGGCGAGUGGCGACGUUACACUCCCCCUGGAGAUAUAUGACACACCGUUUCAACAUAAGACGAGUUGAGAAUUCAAGACUGCUCAUAUACGCACAGUAUA
rnacentral:lncRNA from 1 species